GCCCUGGUGGUGCAGUGGUUAAAGCAUUUGGUUGCUAACCAAAAGGUCGGUGGUUCAAACCCACCGGCU
rnacentral:tRNA from 1 species